AACGAACGCUGGCGGCAUGCCUAACACAUGCAAGUCGAACGAUCCCUUCGGGCACAGUGGCGCACGGGUGCGUCACGCGUCGGAAUCUGACCUUGGCUUUGGCAUAACAGUUAGAAAUGACUGCUAAUACCGGAUGAUGUCCCACUGAGAGUUAUUGGGGACAACAGAUUUAUCGGCCAGGGAUGAGCCCGCGUAGGAUUCGGUAGUUGGUAGGGUAAAGGCCUACCAAGCCGACGAACCUUAGCUGGUCUGAGAGGAUGAGCAGCGACACUGAGACUGAGACACGGCCCGGACUCCUACGGGAGGCGGGAGUGGGGAAUAUUGGAAAAUGGGGUGAACCCUGAUGCAGCAAUGCCGCGUGAAUGAUGAAGGCCUGAGAGUUGUAAAGCUCUUGUAACAGGGAUGAUAAUGACAGUACCUGGAGAGUAAGCUCCGGCUAACUCCGUG
rnacentral:rRNA from 1 species